UGGCGGACGGGUGAGUAACACGUGGGCAACCUGCCCCUCGCAGGGGGAUAACCGGAGGAAACUCCGGCUAAUACCCCGUAAGCUUUCAGGGUCGCAUGGCCCUGAAAGGAAAGGUAGCUUCGGCCAUCCGGCGAGGGAUGGGCCCGCGGUGCAUUAGCUAGUUGGUGGGGUAACGGCUCACCAAGGCGACGAUGCAUAGCUGGUCUGAGAGGAUGAUCAGCCACACUGGGACUGAGACACGGCCCAGACUCCUACGGGAGGCAGCAGCCAGGAAUCUUGGGCAAUGGGCGCAAGCCUGACCCAGCAACACCGUGUGGGCGAUGAAGGCCUUAGGGUCGUAAAGCCCUGUUGAUAGGGACGAAGGGCGAAGGGUUAAUAGCCCCUAGCUUGACGGUACCUUUCGAGGAAGCCCCGGCUAACUACGUGCCAGCAGCCGCGGUAAU
rnacentral:rRNA from 1 species